rnacentral:rRNA from 1 species
UACGUAGGGUGCGAGCGUUAAUCGGAAUUACUGGGCGUAAAGCGUGUGCAGGCGGUCUGUUUAAGACAGGUGUGAAAUCCCCGGGCUUAACCUGGGAAUUGCGCUUGUUACUGGCAGACUAGAGUGCGUCAGAGGGAGGUGGAAUUCCACGUGUAGCAGUGAAAUGCGUAGAGAUGUGGAGGAACACCGAUGGCGAAGGCAGCCUCCUGGGGAUGACACCUGACGCUCAUACACGAAAGCGUGGGGAGCAA